rnacentral:rRNA from 1 species
GAUGAACGCUGGCGACGUGCCUAAUACAUGCAAGUCGAACGCUGAAGCUUGGUGCUUGCACCGAGCGGAUGAGUUGCGAACGGGUGAGUAACGCGUAGGUAACCUGCCUCUUAGCGGGGGAUAACUAUUGGAAACGAUAGCUAAUACCGCAUAAAAGUCGAUAUCGCAUGAUAUUGAUUUGAAAGGUGCAAUUGCAUCACUAAGAGAUGGACCUGCGUUGUAUUAGCUAGUUGGUGAGGUAACGGCUCACCAAGGCGACGAUACAUAGCCGACCUGAGAGGGUUGUCGGCCACACUGGGACUGAGACACGGCCCAGACUCCUACGGGAGGGAGCAGUAGGGAAUCUUCGGCAAUGGGGGGAACCCUGAACGAGCAACGCCGAGUGAGGGAAGAAGGUUUUCGGAUCGUAAAGCUCUGUUGUAAGAGAAGAAAGAGUGUGAGAGUGGAAAGUUCACACUGUGACGGUAACUGACCAGAAAGGGACGGCUAACUACGUG